rnacentral:rRNA from 1 species
AUUGAACGCUGGCGGCAGGCCUAACACAUGCAAGUCGAACGAGUGGCGGACGGGUGAGUAAUGUCUGGGAAACUGCCUGAUGGAGGGGGAUAACUACUGGAAACGGUAGCUAAUACCGCAUACCAUCGGAUGUGCCCAGAUGGGAUUAGCUAGUUGGUGGGGUAACGGCUCACCAAGGCGACGAUCCCUAGCUGGUCUGAGAGGAUGACCAGCCACAAUGGAAUGUGGAAACGGGCCAGACGCCGACGGGGGGAAGCAGUGGGGAAUAUUGCAAAAUGGGCGCAAGCCUGAUGCAGCCAUGCCGCGUGUAUGAAGAAGGCCUUCGGGUUGUAAAGUACUUUCAGCGGGGAGGCGUUACCCGCAGAAGAAGCACCGGCUAACUCCGUGCCAGCAGCCGCGGUAAUUC